AUGCCUUAUAGGGAUUAUAAAAGGGAUUACUUAUUGGAAUGUUAAAAUGUAGGACCUAGAGGGAUUCUAAAAGGGAUGCCUUAUAGGGAUUCUAAAAGGGAUGCCUUAUAGGGAUUCUAAAAGGGUUGACCUACUGGGACUCUAAAAGGGAUGACUUAUUGGGAUGUUAAAAGGUAUGACCUGGAGGGAUUCUUAAAGGGGUGACCUAUAGGAAUGAUAAAAGGGGAGACCAAUAGGAGUGGUAACAGGGAGAAGCAAAGGGGUUGAUAAAAUGAUAAAGCAAAUAGCCUGAUCAAACGGAUCAGCCAAAGCAAUGAGGAAGCGGGUCAGUCGCCAGAAGGGAUUACUUAUAGGGAUGAUAAAAUAUAUAACCUAUAGGGAUGAUAACAGGGAUGAGCUAUAGGGAUUCUAUAAGGGAUUACUUAUAGGGAUGAUAAAAUAUAUAACCUAUAGGGAUGAUAACAGGGAUGAGCUCUAGGGAUUGUAAAAGGGAUGAUCUAUAGGAAUGAUAAAAGGGGAGACCAAUAGGGGUGGUAACAGGGAGGAGCAAAAGGGUUGAUAAAAUGAUAAAGCAAGUAGCCUGAUCAAACGGAUCAGCCAAAGCAAUGAGGAAGCGGGUCAGUCGCCAGAAGGCUCCUUCCUCCUUCCUCGGCCCUCGAAGGACUGGGGCCUGUGCUGCACGU
rnacentral:lncRNA from 1 species